GGGGGGGCAAGCGUUGUUCGGAAUUACUGGGCGUAAAGGGCGCGUAGGCGGCCCAGAAAGUCUCUUGUGAAAUCCCACGGCUCAACUGUGGAACUGCAGGGGAAACUACUGGGCUUGAGUCCGGGAGAGGGUAGUGGAAUUCCCAGUGUAGCGGUGAAAUGCGUAGAUAUUGGGAGGAACACCGGUGGCGAAGGCGGCUACCUGGACCGGUACUGACGCUGAGGCGCGAAAGCUAGGGGAGCAAACGGGAUUAGAUACCCCGGUAGUCCUAGCUGUAAACGUUGAGCACUUGGUGUAGCGGGUAUCGACCCCCUGCUGUGCCGUAGCUAACGCAUUAAGUGCUCCGCCUGGGGGAGUACGGUCGCAAGGCUG
rnacentral:rRNA from 1 species